rfam:Anaerolineaceae bacterium 4572_32.2 ex4572_32.2_scaffold_40361, whole genome shotgun sequence.
CAAGUCAGCCAGACGGUCGCGGCCUGCGCAAUGCGCAGGUCGAGGAAAGUCCGGGCUCCACAGGGCACGGUGCUGGAUAACGUCCAGAUCGGGGCGACCCGAUGGAAAAGGGCCACAGAAAAGCAGACCGCCAGGUUGGUAAACCAACCUGGUAAGGGUGAAAAGGUGGUGUAAGAGACCACCGGCGUUCGUGGCGACACGGGCGGCCAGGCAACCCCCACCAGGAGCAAGGCCAAGCAGAGGCAAGGGACGGCCCGUCCCGUUCGAGUCUCGGGUAGGCCGCGUGAGGCGGCAGGUAACCGCCGUCCCAGAUAGAUGACCGUCCGCGACAGAACCCGGCUUAUCGGCUGGCUUGGGCG